GUCUCUGUGGCGCAGCCGGUUAGCGCGUUCGGCUGUUAACUGAACGGUUGGUGGUUUGAACCCACUCAAGGACG